CACAAGACGAAUGCCUCGCAAGACGGAAAACUCGCUAGACGAAAGAGUUUUCCGUUUUGGAGGUGCCUCGCAAAACGAAUCUGCAAUGGGCUUGCUUCGCAAGAUGAAACUGUCUUGCGAGUUCCUGGGUUUUUUUUUCCCUUUCCCCCCUCUUUUUCUAAGUCGCUAAGCCGCUUAUCUGCUUAUCCGAUAAGCUGAUAAGCUGCUAAAAGCCGCUAAAAGCCGCUAAAAGCCGCUAAUAGCGCUAAUCCGCUAAUCCCAUCAAUGGGCUUGCUUCGCAAGACGAAAAAACCGCUAGACGAAGAGACUCCCAGAACGGAUUCUUUUCGUCUUGCGAGGCACCACUGUACAUCCAUAGA